GCACGAAGUUAGCCGGGGCUUCUUCUCCGGAUACCGUCAUUAUCUUCUCCGGCGAAAGAGUUUUACAACCCUAAGGCCUUCUUCACUCACGCGGCAUGGCUGGAUCAGGCUUGCGCCCAUUGUCCAAGAUUCCCCACUGCUGCCUCCCGUAGGAGUCUGGGCCGUGUCUCAGUCCCAGUGUGGCUGAUCAUCCUCUCAGACCAGCUAUAGAUCGUAGCCUUGGUGGUCCAUUACACCGCCAACUAGCUAAUCUAACGCGGGCCGAUCUUUCGCCGAUAAAUCUUUCCCAAUACGGCGUAUCCGGCAUUAAACCCAGUUUCCCGGGACUAUUCCGAAGCGAAAGGUACGUUCCCACGCGUUACUCACCCGUCUGCCACUCCCCUUGCGGGGCGUUCGACUUGCAUGUGUUAAGCCUGCCGCCAGCGUUCGUU
rnacentral:rRNA from 1 species